CCUACGGGAGGCAGCAGGGAGGAAUAUUGGUCAAUGGCCGGAAGGCGGAACCAGCCAAGUAGCGGGAGGGAAGACGGCCCGAUGGGUUGUAAACCUCUUUUAUGCGGGGAUAAAGGGGGCCACGUGUGGAUGGUUGCAGGUACCGCAUGAAUAAGGACCGGCUAAUUCCGUGCCAGCAGCCGCGGUAAUACGGAAGGUCCGGGCGUUAUCCGGCUUUAUGGGGUUUAAAGGGAGCGUAGGCCGGUCUUUCAGCGUGCCGUGAAAUUUUGUGGCUCAACCAUGAGAGGGAGGCGCGAACUGGCGCCCUUGCGUGCGCGGCAGGCAGGCGGCAUUCGUGGUGUCGCGG
rnacentral:rRNA from 1 species